GCAUGUCUAAGUAUAAGCAAUUAUACCGCGAAACUGCGAAUGGCUCAUUAUAUAAGUUAUCGUUUAUUUGAUAGCACAUUACUACUUGGAUAACCGUGGUAAUUCUAGAGCUAAUACAUGCUAAAAACCCUGACUUCACGAAAGGGUGUAUUUAUUAGAUUAAAAACCAAUGCCCUACGGGCUUACUGGUGAAUCAUGAUAACUGUUCGAAUCGCACGGCCUUGCGCCGGCGAUGGUUCAUUCAAAUUUCUUCCCUAUCAACUUUCGAUGCGAGGGUCUUGUCCUCGCAUGGUUGCAACGGGUAACGGAGGGUUAGGGCUCGACCCCGGAGAAGGAGCCUGAGAAACGGCUACUACAUCCAAGGAAGGCAGCAGGCGCGCAAAUUACCCAAUCCCGACACGGGGAGGUAGUGACAAUAAAUACUGAUACAGGGCUCUUUUGGGUCUUGUAAUUGGAAUGAGUACAAUUUAAAUCUCUUAACGAGGAACAAUUGGAGGGCAAGUCUGGUGCCAGCAGCCGCGGUAAUUCCAGCUCCAAUAGCGUAUAUUAAAGUUGUUGUGGUUAAAAAGCUCGUAGUUGAACCUUGGGCCUGGCUGGCCGGUCCCCCUCACCGGGUGCACUGAUCCAGCCGGGCCUUUCCCUCUAUGGAACCCCAUGGCCUUCACUGUCCGUGGUGGGGAAAUAGGACUUUUACUUUGAAAAAAUUAGAGUGCUCCAGGCAGGCCUAUGCUCGAAUACAUUAGCAUGGAAUAAUAGAAUAGGACGUGCGGUUCUAUUUUGUUGGUUUCUAGGACCGCCGUAAUGAUUAAUAGGGACAGUCGGGGGCAUCAGUAUUCAAUUGUCAGAGGUGAAAUU
rnacentral:rRNA from 1 species